GAUGAACGCUGGCGGCGUGCCUAAUACAUGCAAGUCGAGCGAACAGACGAGGAGCUUGCUCCUCUGACGUUAGCGGCGGACGGGUGAGUAACACGUGGAUAACCUACCUAUAAGACUGGGAUAACUUCGGGAAACCGGAGCUAAUACCGGAUAAUAUAUUGAACCGCAUGGUUCAAUAGUGAAAGACGGUUUUGCUGUCACUUAUAGAUGGAUCCGCGCCGCAUUAGCUAGUUGGUAAGGUAACGGCUUACCAAGGCAACGAUGCGUAGCCGACCUGAGAGAGUGAUCGGCCACACUGGAACUGAGACACGGUCCAGACUCCUAAGGGAGGCAGCAGUAGGGAAUCUUCCGCAAUGGGCGAAAGCCUGACGGAGCAACGCCGCGUGAGUGAUGAAGGUCUUCGGAUCGUAAAACUCUGUUAUUAGGGAAGAACAAAUGUGUAAGUAACUAUGCACGUCUUGACGGUACCUAAUCAGAAAGCCACGGCUAACUACGUG
rnacentral:rRNA from 1 species